AUGCCGGCUCACUGUGCUGCAAAUUACACACUACGUUGUACGAUUGAGACAAGGAAACUUGGAAUGACUUUUCAUAGGUUUCCCAGAGACUAUGGGUUGAGGAGGAAGUGGAAGUUUGUCGGCUUAGACCUGGUGUCAUUCCAUCAGUGUUAAACUUCCCGGCUCAUCUUGGAAGAGUACGUGCCAGAAAGACCACGACCAAGCAGCCUUGAGAUCUUAGGCAGCGUCUCCCUGAGGUCCCUCUCUAUCUCCCUACACAUCCACCAACCACUGGAACACAUCUCCAAAGUUCUGCUGGGCCAGCUCAGCUUCCCCUCAGAAGAAGUGCCGCCACCUGCCAGAUGAAGGAGCCUUUUGAGAGGCAGCUGGCAUCGUGAUUGGACUGUUCUUUGGUCUGUUCCAAUCCAGCUUCAGCUCCAGAGACGUCAGGCGGGACGAGUCAACGGAGGCCGGGUGGACGAAGGCAUGCAGCUGAGUACAAUCCAGAAAACAACUGAGGAGGAGUGCAGGGC